rnacentral:rRNA from 1 species
UGGGGAAUAUUGCACAAUGGGCGAAAGCCUGAUGCAGCAACGCCGCGUGAGUGAUGAAGGCCUUCGGGUUGUAAAGCUCUGUCUUUUGGGACGAUAAUGACGGUACCAAAGGAGGAAGCCACGGCUAACUACGUGCCAGCAGCCGCGGUAAUACGUAGGUGGCAAGCGUUGUCCGGAUUUACUGGGCGUAAAGGAUGCGUAGGCGGAUUUUUAAGUGAGAUGUGAAAUACCCGGGCUUAACUUGGGUGCUGCAUUUCAAACUGGGAAUCUAGAGUGCGGGAGAGGAGAAUGGAAUUCCUAGUGUAGCGGCGAAAUGCGUAGAGAUUAGGAAGAACACCAGUGGCGAAGGCGAUUCUCUGGACCGUAACUGACGCUGAGGCAUGAAAGCGUGGGUAGCAAACAGGAUUAGAUACCCUGGUAGUCCACGCCGUAAACGAUGAGUACUAGGUGUAGGAGGUAUCGACCCCUUCUGUGCCGCAGUUAACACAAUAAGUACUCCGCCUGGGAAGUACGAUCGCAAGAUUAAAACUUAAAGGAAUUGACGGGGUCAUAGC